GGAGGGAUGUCGAAUGUGGCGCCGACGAUACCGGCGGUGCCGGACUUUGGAGUGUCGAGCCCGAUGGGCAGUGUGGUGCCCCCACCGUCAGGGAGGGGUGGAAUGGUGGAUAGGUCGCUUGAAAGGUCUAUGUAUCUUGAGCUUGCGCUGUCGGCGAUGGAUGAGCUUGUUAAGAUGGCGCAGAUGGAGGAGCCUCUGUGGAUCCCGGCCUUGGGCGGCGGCAGGGAGGCGCUGAACUAUGAUGAGUAUCUCCGGGAGUUCCCUCGCUGCAUUGGGAUGAAGCCUCCCGGGCAUGUGUCGGAGGCGUCGAGGGAGACCGGAAUGGUCAUCAUCAAUAGCAUGGCUCUUGUCGAGACACUCAUCGACUCGACUCGUUGGGCGGAUAUGUUCCCUUGCAUCAUUGCGAGAACUACGACUACUGACAUUAUAUCCAAUGGAGUGGCCGGGAGUACUAGGAAUGGUGCACUUCAACUAAUGCAAGCUGAGCUCCAGGUGCUUUCGCC
rnacentral:misc_RNA from 1 species